CCACCCCACGCCAUCCCCACUCCGAUUAGUCCCACACACAGCUCUCCUCUCUCUCCAGUUCACUCUUUGUAUCUUUUUCUCUAUCAUCACUAAUUUUCUCUCUCUAGUCUCUACCCACCCCACCUAACCCCUAGGGCGGAGCAAAACUGUUGGAGAAAGCCGAUCCCCGCAGAGUAAGAAGUCUACAACCGGAAUUGGUGGAUUCAACAAACCUUUUCUAAUUUGUGGGUGGUUCGUUGGUGGUCGAGGUGGUAGUGAUGAUGACUUGCAGUGCGGCGAGGCAUACCCUCUACUCACCAGCUUAUGCGUAUUCUAAGGUGAAUUUUCGACUACCGGAGGAUCUGGUGACAAACUUAUUUCCUCUCUCUCUCUCACACACACACACACACAUAGAGUCUCGAAACUUUUAUAUUUUCCAUUCUUUCAUCCCCAAUUUCAAUCGUACACAACGCUUGAUCUGAUCAUUUCUCAGAUCCGUUUCAAAACCUAACAAUGGCAACUUCACGUUGGUUGCAAGAGCUCCAAUCACAGUUGAGAAGCAAGAUUUGCGUUGAUUGCUUGCAAAAGAAUCUGUAAUACAGCAAUAGGCUUCCAUCUGCUACGACUUUUUCAUGUGCCUUGAGCACUUAAGCAAGCAUCUUGGCCUUGACAUUUCUUUGUUCGAUCUGUGACGAUCGACUUGUGGUCCGAGAUUCAAUUCUAGAAAAUGGAGCUCGACAUAAAUGAAAUAUUUGAUCAAUUUAUUUUGCAGUAUGGAAUCCCCAAAGAAACUGUUGUUGUUGUAGGUGUUUGAUGAUUAAUAUAUACAAAGGUUGUUUUGUUGGAUAUGGUGGUGACUAAUUUUUGUUAGUGGCAGUGGCGGUGGAUAUGGUGAUUUUUGUUGAAUCUGGUGGUGGUGGUGGCGGUUGUGGUGGUCAUGGUGCUGUGUCGAUGACGAUGCUGUUAGGUUGUAUUGGUGGUACGGCUCCAAUGGUUCCCGGCAGUACAUGUGGUUCUGGUGACGUGGUGUAUGUUUGGUUGUCGGUGUUUGGGAAUGGUGAUGAGUGACCAAAUCUAUUUUCAUUAUGACUGCUUGUGAUCAAAUUUGUGUGAACUAUAAUCAUAUGUGAUUUGGUUAUAUAUAGUCACAAAUUAGACUAACAUGGUCACAUCCAGUCACACCAAAGACAAUUUUGGUCAUGAAUACAUUAGGUCAGUUUAUACAUUAUGGGUCACAAUUCGUCGUUAAGGUCACAAUUCACUGGUCACAGGUUUGAGUUCACACGUCACAGUUAUUAGAUAUAAGUCACAAAUUAGUAUAAAUUGAUCACAAAUCAAUAACAACAGGUCACGUGUAAUUUUGUAAAAGUCACGGAUCAAAUUUACAGGUCACAUUUUAUGGUACAAGUCAAGGGUAACAUAUUACAAGUUAAAAAUCAUAUUUUAUAGGUCAUAAUGUACACAGGUCACAGGUUAUUGCCUAAAAAGAAGAAAAAUGAUUUGUGAAUUUAACCUAUUUAAUUACAAAAAAAAAAUUUGAUUAAAUAUUUCAUAACUAAAAUUUUAAUAGUAUUUGAUUUUUGAAAUUUCAAACUUCAUUUCAUAAUUUGAAAUUGGUCAUAUGCGUAUUCAUCCCACUUGAUUAGGUCACAGAUCCAAUAGAAUUGGUCGCAGAUCACAAUGUGCACUUGUCACAGGUUAUUGCCAAAAAAGAAGAAAAAAAAUGUAGUCACCGGAAAGGUAAGCGGUUACUGGAAUGAUCGUCAGAGUCGUUGUCAGAGGUUGCCGAAUAUUCGUCGGAGAGGUCGUCGGAAUUGUCGCCGGAGUGGUCACUGGAAUUCUUGCCGGAGCUGUCGUCGGAAUUGUUACCGGAACCGUCAACGGAACAGUUGUCGAAGGUAGGAUGGAGUGGAGAGAGAAAGUGAAAGGUUUGAUGUGAUGGGUGUGUGGGUUGGAGGUGGGUGGGGGUGGAGUAAGUAGAUUAAUUAUAUUAUAUUAUAAUUCAAUAUUUAAUAAAUUUAAUUAUCACCUGAUUUUUGAAAGAUUUUUAGAAAUUUGUUAGAUUUGAAAUGUGAUUUUUAAAUGGAUGAUUUAUGUGGUAUUCCCUUUACAAAACCUUGACUUGAAAGGC
rnacentral:lncRNA from 1 species